rnacentral:rRNA from 1 species
GAUGAACGCCGGCGGCGUGCUUAACACAUGCAAGUCGAACGGUGAAGCAGGAGCUUGCUCUUGUGGAUCAGUGGCGAACGGGUGAGUAACACGUGAGCAACCUGCCCCUGACUCUGGGAUAAGCGCUGGAAACGGCGUCUAAUACUGGAUAUGUGAUGUGACCGCAUGGUCUGCAUCUGGAAAGAAUUUCGGUUGGGGAUGGGCUCGCGGCCUAUCAGCUUGUUGGUGAGGUAAUGGCUAACCAAGGCGUCGACGGGUAGCCGGCCUGAGAGGGGGGCCGGCCACACUGGGACUGAGACACGGCCCAGACUCCUACGGGAGGCAGCAGUGGGGAAUAUUGCGCAAUGGGCGGAAGCCUGAUGCAGCAACGCCGCGUGAGGGAUGACGGCCUUCGGGUUGUAAACCUCUUUUAGCAGGGAAGAAGCGAAAGUGACGGUACCUGCAGAAAAAGCACCGGCUAACUACGUGCCAGCAGCCGCCGUAA